ensembl:lncRNA novel transcript
GGCAUCCCAGAGCUCCGCUCCCUGGAGGCCCCUCCAGAGAGGGACCCGGGGCCCCGCCCCGCAGCUGGAGAAGGGGUGAAUGCCUUUCCUACCUAACGCCUGGUCCGCGGCCCUGCUUGUUGCGUCUCCAAGACCACGUGUCUGCUGCAUUUUAAAAAUAGUUGUGAACAUCUGACUUUCUCCUUUUGCUGGAGUGCAGUGGCACAAUCUCUGCUCACUGCAACCUCGGCUUCUCAGGUUCAAGCGAGUCUCCUGGCUCAGCCUUCCCAGUAGCUGGGAUUACAGGCGCGUGCCACCAUGCCCGGACUUUGGAGUUUGCUGAAAUGUAACCUCAGAAUAAGUGGGGUAUGACUGCCCUCUCCUUUGAGGGAAAAGAAAAAGUAUUUUCAGGCCAGGCACGGUGGCUCAUGCUUAUAAUCCCAGCACUUUGGGAGGCUGAGGUACCAUAAAUAUGAAAAGGCAAGAUAUUGGCAAUUCAGUACAACUUGUUUGUGUCCAGAAUACAUCAAUAAAAGAAGAACAAUUCAAGAGAAACAGGAAAUUCACAGAAGAGGAAACCGGAAUUGUCAUAAACAAAUGAAAAAUGCUCAACUUCCCUAGUAAUUAUGAGAAUUCAAAUCAAAAUAAAGACUUCAUUUCACA